CCUACGCGAGGCAGCAGUGAGGAAUAUUGGUCAAUGGACGAGAGUCUGAACCAGCCAAGUAGCGUGAAGGAUGACUGCCCUAUGGGUUGUAAACUUCUUUUAUAUGGGAAUAAAAUGUUCCACGUGUGGGAUUUUGUAUGUACCAUAUGAAUAAGGAUCGGCUAACUCCGUGCCAGCAGCCGCGGUAAUACGGAGGAUCCGAGCGUUAUCCGGAUUUAUUGGGUUUAAAGGGAGCGUAGGUGGAUUGUUAAGUCAGUUGUGAAAGUUUGCGGCUCAACCGUAAAAUUGCAGUUGAAACUGGCAGUCGUGAGUACAGUAGAGGUGGGCGGAAUUCGUGGUGUAGCGGUGAAAUGCUUAGAUAUCACACAGAACACCGAUUGCGAAGGCAUCUGACGAAUCGGAGAUUGACGCUGAUGCACGAAAGCGUGGGUAUCGAACAGGAUUAGAUACCCCCGGUAGUC
rnacentral:rRNA from 1 species